GACGAGCCAUACGAACGUUAUUCGGAAUUACUGGGCUUAAAGGGUGCGUAGGCUGCGCGGAAAGUUGGGUGUGAAAUCCCUCGGCUCAACCGAGGAAGUGCGCCCGAAACUGCAGAGCUUGAGUACCGGAGAGGAUGGCGGAAUUCCCCAAGUAGAGGUGAAAUUCGUAGAUAUGGGGAGGAACACCGGUGGCGAAGGCGGCCAUCUGGACGGAUACUGACGCUGAGACGCGAAAGCGUGGGUAGCAAACAGG
rnacentral:rRNA from 1 species